AUUGAACGCUGGCGGCAGGCCUAACACAUGCAAGUCGAACGGAGCGACUGACGGAUGAGUAAUUCCUAGGAGUCUGCCUGGUAGUGGUGUAUAACGUCCGGAAACGGGCGCUAAUCCCGCAUACUAUCAGAUGGGCCUAGGUGGGCGUAGCUAGUUGGUGGGGUAACGGCCUACCAAGGCGACGAGCCGUAACUGGUCUGAGGGGAUGAUCAGUCACACUGGAACUGAGACACGGUCCAGACGCCUACGGUAGGAAGCAGUGGGGAAUAUUGGACAAUGGGCGAAAGCCUGAGCGAGCCAUGCCGCGUGUGUGAAGAAGGUCUUCGGAUUGUAAAGUACUUUAAGUUGGGAGGCGUUACCAACAGAAUAAGCACCGGCUAACUUCGUGCCAGCCGCCGCGGUAAUAC
rnacentral:rRNA from 1 species